rnacentral:misc_RNA from 1 species
UAUCAUCAAACCCUCGGGUUCGCGCCCGCUGCGGUUUGGAGUUGGGGGCUUUUGCUGCCGUGAGGCGGCUCCCCUUAAAAUCAUCGGUUUGGCCCGUAUCUUGCGGCUAGCACCUUUGGCGUUGUAUUUCCCUCGCCUUCGAUCGGUCUUGCUCGCUUCCGCGCCUCACCCCGACUUGCCCUUUGGGUGGCGGUCACUUCUUGACA